rnacentral:tRNA from 1 species
GGAGAGGUGUCCGAGUGGUCGAUGGUGCAUGCUUGGAAAGCAUGUGAACGAAAGUUCCGGGGGUUCGAAUCCCCCUCUCUCCG